GGGGGGGGGGGGCUUCAUACUAAAAGAAACGAAAUUAGCAUUAGCUUUUUGUGAUAAAUAUAUAAUAAACUCACAGUAACAGAAAUAGCUCUUGAAAGUUCUGUCAGAUCCCGGCAUUUUUAACUGUUUUUGACGCGUGCUAAAAAAUGCAGCACCUGGUUACAGGGGCUCAUUUGACAAAUUAUCAUCUUUCGUAAUUUAAGUUAUAAAAUCUAAAAUUAAAGUGAUCUAAAAUGUUCAUGACUAACGAGUAUUUUCACUUGUACGCUGUGAAAUGAGUCUAAGAGUAUAUACAUGUAUAUCGGGAUACUGACUGCAUAGUAAAAUAUUUAUAUACCUAUUAGUUGCGGCUCAUUUUGGUCUUUUAAGUAAGUGUCCUUCCCCUGCAUUACUUGAUCGCUUUUGUAAAAAAUAAACAGCACAACAACAGCACUCGACAUCAGUAUAAUUUGUACCAAAAAAUGAAGAAAAUAUUCAAAAAGAAGGCUCAUAAAAUUCAAAUAUUGGUGAUCAGACAUCUUGGUUUUCAUGAUCAAUAGGUCUAUACUGAAGAGGACACUGAAAGUUGAUAUCUAUCUACAUGGUGCGCUAAUUGGAUUAAUGUGAAAUGGAAUGUGUGCUUGCCUGCAAAAAAGAAAUAGGAAAUUUCAUCAUAAUCACAUGAUAAUGGCUAUAAACAAAAUGGAGUUCUAUCAUAGAUGCAGAAAUUCACAAUUGUAUACAUGUAAAUGCAACAACAUAUUAUAUAUAUUUGUCGAAAGAAAGGAGAAAUGAAGAAAAAAAUAGUAUUUUGUUGUUGAAAGGAACACAAGCUUUAUCCACUCAUUACAUCAUUACCUCAUAUCAAAUAUACUGAAGAAGAUCUUCGAAGAACAAAUUGCAAAAAUGUUUUCUCUAAGAAUUGAAGGAAAUUGUUUAAUGAAUGGAAUAAUUUAUGCAUUGAACUUUUACGUAGUGGAUUGAAUAACUGUACACACAUGACACAGCAGCUGAAACAGAGGAAAAUUAAAAUUUACAGGAAAAGUGUUUAUUUUAUUAUUUAAUUUGCAAAUAUGAACGCAUUCUUAAGAACACCACAAAUGGUAUGACAUUCAAAUUGGUUGCUUAUUAAUGUAUACAAUUGAAACAAUAACAAAGAAAACAGAAUACUUUGCUACAAAAAAUAUUUUAUAAAUCAAAGUUAAAGUCAUAUAAAGUAUGUACAAUACCUUGACCUAAACAGUCAGACUCACUGUAUUGUUUUUGUAUGUCAUGAUAAUUUUGAGGCAAAAAUUUAUUAAAGUUUUAAAUAUCA